rnacentral:lncRNA from 1 species
UCAAUUAGUUAUUGUUGUUGGAGGAUGGGCCCAUCUAUCAUGGGCUCUCCCACCAAGUGAAAAUGUCUUCUUACAUUUUUUUGUUGUCACCCCCAAUUUUUCCAUAAUUUGAACUUGAGACUUUUGAAUUUUUAUAGACAAUCGUUGUUCUUUGAGAUCAUAUAUAGUUAUCGUUUGGAGUUUGAAGAAAUUCAAAAGCAAAGAAAAUU